rnacentral:lncRNA from 1 species
CUAUUACUGAGCUGAACCCCAGCCCUCUUGCUUUUUUCUUGUGUUAGCCUGAGGGAUUGAUUCCAGGAGGCACAGAACUACAUGCCCAAUACUUUUUAUAGUUUAUUAUUUCUAUUUUCAGACACUUUUUAAUGCUAUUUUACCUCAGGCUUGUCCCAGUCUUGUGCUCCUGCUGCCCCAGGGUCACCAGUACUUGGGAUGACAGGCAUGCACCACAGUGCUAUCUCUCUUUCUUUCUCUCUUUCUCUUUCUUUUUUUCUUUCUUUCGUGUAGCCACGUAACUGCUCCGUUGCUCAGGCAUUAAUUGCUCAUCACAGCACUGUGUCGGUCAUUGCUGCAUUGGAGCAGGUGGUGUGCCUAAGAGUGUGCUGUAGAAGCUAUGCAGGAGGAUGUGAACACAGAGGCUCAUCAUUGUCAUCAGUAUUAUUGCUUUUCCUUUAUGCAGUUGUGAGAGUUUCAAGAAAGAAACACUCUUUUGGGUCCUUCUCUGGAUGAGAAGAAGAAAAGCAUAAAUCCCGGGAUAUCCACUGGUGGCAAAUGUCACCCACCUGACGAGGUGAGUCAGAGCUGGCCAGGCUGCUGCGGCUGUGGCUCUCAUGGCAGUGGGGGGUCAGGGUUCACAUGAGCACAAUGUCAGGUGCAGGAUAAGAAAUCUGCAUUCGAGGGCCAGGUCUGUGACAGCUCAGCGGUCGGGUGUGUGACAAGCUUAUGACAAGUCCUGGGUCUGACCAACAGCAGUGCAAUUAAAUAUGUGGGGAGGAUUUUAUGUACAAUUUUGAUGUUUAAAUGACACAUUUUUAUGUGAAUGCCCUCGGGCCUGGUGCAGAGCAAGCACUCAGUAAAUGGUAGCUGGAGUUUGAUUUUGCUCAGCCUCAAGGGCAGCCAGGCCAGUGAGAAGAGCCACUUAUGCUCAGGAUCUCUGCCAGAGCCCAGGGUGUGAGGUCUGGGAGGAGGCAGGGUGUGCAGGGAGCUUGGCUCAGGCCACCCUGGGUGGGGGAGUCUUAGUGGAAGAGGAAUCAGCACCUCCUGUGUUUCUCUCUGAGCAGAGCCAGGAUGCCACCAGUGGCCCCAAGGUCCUGGCUCAGAACAACCCUAGGACGUACUUCUCCGAUGACAUCCAGAGGGUCCUGAAUGAGGUACCGCAGACUGGGGCCAGAGGUGGGGAGAGGGAAGGACACUUGGAUGAUAGAUGUACUUGAGGUCGCCAGUCCCCCCCCGUCCACUGUCCCCUGUGCCUAGGGCAGCGGACAAAGGUGAAAGCAGAGAAGGAGGAGCAGGACAGGAAGGUCAAGGAGCUAGAGAAGAGCCUGAUGGACCUGAAGGCAGACAUGGGUGAGUGAGCACAAGGCUGACCUGGGAGUUGGACCCGGUCUCUGGGCUGUGGCUGUGGCUGUGGCCUGCACUUUCCUAAGGAGCGACGUACACUCAAGGGAUGGGGCAGAGAGAAAGGGCUCUGUGACGGGAGCUGGCAA